AUUGAACGCUGGCGGCACGCCUUACACAUGCAAGUCGAACGGCAGCAUGGGUGCUUGCACCUGAUGGCGAGUGGCGAACGGGUGAGUAAUACAUCGGAACGUACCCGGAAGUGGGGGAUAACGUAGCGAAAGUUACGCUAAUACCGCAUAUUCUGUGAGCAGGAAAGAGGGGGAUCGCAAGACCUCUCGCUUUCGGAGCGGCCGAUGUCGGAUUAGCUAGUUGGCGGGGUAAAGGCCCACCAAGGCAACGAUCCGUAGCGGGUCUGAGAGGAUGAUCCGCCACACUGGGACUGAGACACGGCCCAGACUCCUACGGGAGGCAGUAGUGGGGAAUUUUGGACAAUGGGGGCAACCCUGAUCCAGCCAUGCCGCGUGAGUGAAGAAGGCCUUCGGGUUGUAAAGCUCUUUCGGCCGGGAAGAAAUCGCACAGGCUAAUACCUUGUGUGGAUGACGGUACCGGAAUAAGAAGCACCGGCUAACUACGUGCCAGCCGCCGCAGUAAAAC
rnacentral:rRNA from 1 species